GCGGCGUGGAUUAGGCAUGCAAGUCGAGCGAACUUUUUUAAUGAUGUAUAUUUGAAGCCUUCGGGUUGAUGAUGUGCUGAUUUAUUAAGGUUAGCGGCAAACGGGUGAGUAACACGUGGGUAACGUACCUUAAGGAGGAGGAUAGCCUUGAGAAAUCAGGGGUAAUACUCCGUAAUCCCUUAUACCUGGAAUGGUAAAGGGCAAAGAUGGCCUCUACUUGUAAGCUAUCGCCAUAAGAGCGGCCCGCGUCCUAUCAGGUUGUUGGCAGGGUAAAAGCCUACCAAGCCUAAGACGGGUAGCUGGUCUGAGAGGAUGGUCAGCCACAUCGGGACUGAGACACUGCCCGGACUCCUACGGGAGGCUGCAGUCGAGAAUCUUUCACAAUGGACGAAGGUCUGAUGAUGCGACGCCGCGUGGGGGAUGAAGGUUUACGGAUUGUAAACCCCUUUUAUUGAAGAGAAACUUUUAUGUUUCAAAUAGAGACAUAGGAUUGACUGUAUUCAAUGAAUAAGCCACGGCUAACUCCGUGCCAGCAGCCGCGGUAAUACGGAGGUGGCAAGCGUUACUCGGUUUGACUGGGUGUAAAGGGUCCGCAGGCGGCCAAAUAAGUGAAAGGUGAAAUCCUUCGGCUCAACCGGAGAAUGGCCUUUCAAACUGUAUGGCUCGAGGCUGGAAGAAGAGAGUAGAACUGCUAGUGUAAGGGUGAAAUCUGUGGAUAUUAGCAGGAAUGCCUGUGGUGUAGACGACUCUCUGGUCCAGACCUGACGCUCAGGGACAAAAGCUAGGGGAGCGAACAGGAUUAGAUACCCUGGUAGUCCUAGCUGUAAACGAUGGGCACUAGGUGUCUGUCCGUAAGGAUGGGUGCCGGAGUUAACGCGUUAAGUGCCCCACCUGGGGACUACGGCCGCAAGGCUAAAACUCAAAGGAAUUGACGGGGACCCGCACAAGCGGUGGAACACGUGGUUUAAUUCGACUACGCGCGGAACCUUACCAGGGUUUGACAUGCUAGAAGUAGUGCCCCGAAAGGGGUUCCGACCGGUAACCAGUCCGGUACUAGCACAGGUGCUGCAUGGUUGUCGUCAGCUCGUGCCGUGAGGUGUUCCCUUAGGUGGGAAAACGAGCGCAACCCUCGCCCUUUGUUGCCACUUCUGGUUUUAAAUCAGAAAGCACUCUAGGGGGACUGCCCGCGUUAAGUGGGAGGAAGGUGGGGACGACGUCAAAUCCGCAUGGCCCUUAUAUCCUGGGCUACACACGUGUUACAAUGCCUGUUACAAUGGGGGGCGAAGCCGUGAGGUGGAGCAAAUCUCAAAAAAACAGGCUCAGUUCGGAUCGAAGGCUGCAACUCGCCUUCGUGAAGCUGGAAUCGCUAGUAAUGGCGCAUCAGCUACGGCGCCGUGAAUACGUACCCGGGUCUUGUACACACCGCCCGUCAAGCGCUGAAAGUGGGGGGCACCCGAAGUCCCGAUCAUUCGGGAUCACGGUGAAUUUCAUGAUUGGCGCUAAGUCGAAACAAGGUA
rnacentral:rRNA from 1 species